rnacentral:rRNA from 1 species
CCUACGGGAGGUAGCAGUGAGGAAUAUUGGUCAAUGGACGAGAGUCUGAACCAGCCAAGUAGCGUGAAGGAUGACGGCCCUAUGGGUUGUAAACUUCUUUUAUAAAGGACUAAAACGAGGCACGUGUGGCUUUUCGAAUGUACUUUAUGAAUAAGGAUCGGCUAACUCCGUGCCAGCAGCCGCGGUAAUACGGAGGAUCCGAGCGUUAUCCGGAUUUAUUGGGUUUAAAGGGAGCGUAAAUGGGUGCUUAAGUCAGUUGUGAAAGUUGGGGGCGCAACGGGAAACUUUCAAUUGAUACUGGGAGUCUUGAGGACAGUGGAGGUAGGCGGAAUUCGUGGUGCAGCGGUG